UAGGGAAUCUUCGGCAAUGGACGAAAGUCUGACCGAGCAACGCCGCGUGAGUGAAGAAGGUUUUCGGAUCGUAAAACUCUGUUGUUAGAGAAGAACAAGGACGUUAGUAACUGAACGUCCCCUGACGGUAUCUAACCAGAAAGCCACGGCUAACUACGUGCCAGCAGCCGCGGUAAUACGUAGGUGGCAAGCGUUGUCCGGAUUUAUUGGGCGUAAAGCGAGCGCAGGCUGUUUCUUAAGUCUGAUGUGAAAGCCCCCGGCUCAACCGGGGAGGGUCAUUGGAAACUGGGAGACUUGAGUGCAGAAAAGGAGAGUGGAAUUCCAUGUGUAGCGGUGAAAUACGUAGAUAUAUGGAGGAACACCAGUGGCGAAGGCGGCUCUCUGGUCUGUAACUGACGCUGAGGCUCGAAAGCGUGGGGAGCAAACAGG
rnacentral:rRNA from 1 species